CGUAAAGCGUCCGCAGGUGGUUUGAAAAGUCAUUGGUCAAAUCUUGAAGCUCAACUUCAAGACUGCUUGUGAUACUUUCAGACUAGAGGAUGGGAGAGGCGAGUGGAAUUACCGGUGUAGUAGUAAAAUGCGUUUAUAUCGGUAAGAACACCAGAGGCGAAGGCGGCUCGCUGGAACAUUCCUGACACUCAUGGACGAAAGCGUGGGGAGCAAAACGGAUUAGAUACCCGUGUAGUCCACGCCCUAAACGAUGGAUACUAGGUAUUGGCAGUAUCGACCCUGUCAGUGCCGGUGACAAUAGCUAACGCGUUAAGUAUCCCGCCUGGGAAGUACGGUCGCAAGACUAAAACUCAAAGGAAUAGACGGGGACCCGCACAAGCGGUGGAGCAUGUGGUUUAAUUCGACGGUAAGCGAAGAACCUUACCAGGGCUUGAACUGUAGCUGCAAAUCCCAUGAAAGUGGGACUCCUUCGAGGGUGCUAUAGAGGUGCUGCAUGGUUGUCGUCAGCUCGUGCUGUGAAGUGUACCGUUAAGUCGGGAAACGAGCGCAACCCCUAUGCUGUGUUAAAUUGUACACAGCAAACUGCCUUGGAUAACAAGGAGGAAGGAAGGGAUGACGCCAAAUCAGCAUGGCUCUUACGUCCUGGGCCACACACGUGCUACAAUGGGAAGUAACAAAGGGUUUUGCCAAGUCGCGAGACGGAGCUAAUCCCAGAAACCUUCCCCCAGUUCAGAUUGGAGUCUGCAACUCGACUCCAUGAAGUCGGAAUCGCUAGUAAACGCCGAUCAGCCACGCGGCGUUGAAUACGUUCUCGGGUCUUGUACUCACCGCCCGUCAAGCCAAGGGAGUUGGCAAUGCCUGAAUCUCGUUUUCACGGGAGAGGGCAGGGUCAGCAACAGGGGCUAAGUCGUAACAAGGCAUCCGUAGCGGAAGCUGUGGAUGGAUCACCUCCUUUCUAAGGAGUA
rnacentral:rRNA from 1 species